AGAGUUUGAUCCUGGCUCAGGACGAACGCUGGCGGUGUGCUUCACACAUGCAAGUCGAACGAGGUAGCAAUACCUAGUGGCGGACGGGUGAGUAACGCGUGGGAAUCUGCCUUUAGAUGGGGGAUAACGGGCCGAAAGGUCCGCUAAUACCGCAUAUGCCGCAAGGUGAAAGGAGUAAUCCGUCUAAAGAUGAGCCCGCGUCCGAUUAGCUAGUUGGUAGAGUAAGAGCCUACCAAGGCGACGAUCGGUAGCUGGUCUGAGAGGAUGAUCAGCCACAAUGGGACUGAGACACGGCCCAUACUCCUACGGGAGGCAGCAGUGGGGAAUUUUACGCAAUGGGGGAAACCCUGACGUAGCGACACCGCGUGAGCGAAGAAGCCCUUUGGGGUGUAAAGCUCUGUCAGCUGGAACGAAAACAAUGACGGUACCAGCAGAGGAAGCAUCGGCUAACUACGUG
rnacentral:rRNA from 1 species